rnacentral:antisense_RNA from 1 species
GACUGAAUCUCACUCUGUUGUCCAGGCUGGAGUGCGGUGGCACCAUCUCCGCUCACUGCAACCUCUGGCUCCCAGGUUCAAGCGAUUCUCCUGCCUCAGCCCCCUGAGUAGCUGGGAUUACAGGCGCGCGCCACCACUCCCAGUUCACACCCCGCUACUCCUGAGUGCCACACACCGGCUUCCUCCCAGUCCCUCAUCUGAGAACUCAUGAAGCCACCUGGAAUCCCUUUCUGCUUUGCCUGGCUCAUUCCAUCUCAAUUUCAGAUCUUCGCUACAGGUCAGCUCCAAGGAGGAGCUCUCAAAACCUAGCUCUCAAAACCUAGCUCUUUUCCUUCAGAGCACUGGCCUCCAAUU